AGGUGGUAUAUUAGGUGGUAUAUUAGGUGGUAUAUUAUGUGGUAUAUUAGGUGGUAUAUUAGGUGGUAUAUUAGGUGGUAUAUUCCUACACUGUAUAGGGCACUACGUCUGACCAGGGCUAGGAGGUAUAUUAGAUGGUAUAUUAUGUGGUAUAUUAUGUGGUAUAUUAGGUGGUAUAUUCCUACACUGUAUAGUGCCCUACGUCUGACUAGGGCUAGGUGGUAUAUUAGAUGGUAUAUUCCUACACUGUAUAGUGCCCUACGUCUGACCAGGGCUAGGUGGUAUAUUAGGUGGUAUAUUCCUACACUGUAUAGUGCCCUACGUCUG
ensembl:lncRNA